rnacentral:lncRNA from 1 species
AGAGAUUGGUGUGAAGCUAGAUGCAAUAAUAAAUAUCACAGAAAACCAAAAGAAAAGGCAAAAGAUCUUGACAACUUUGUUGGAGAUGAGAUUCCAACAUGGACACACUGGCCUGGACCUUUCUUAAGUCGUUAAUAGCUUGUCGUGGCGUUCAUGAUUUGCCGUCCCUUUUCCCUACAGAGUGGACUGUGGUCUGAAUUAUUCACUCUAUGCUCCAACUUAUGAUUAUCCUUUUACAUGCUUUGUUGGAAGUGUGGAUCCUUCCACUCAUAAAAUAACCUUAAUGAUAUUUUGAAAACUUGCUAAAUAUACAAUCUGUGAUUAAUGAUAUGAACAGAGAUUAUCUUCGUUAUUUCAUAAACUGAUGUAAGUUUUAGACAGAGAAAUAAGGUUCUAGACUGAUGUAAGUUGUGAAUAAAAUAAAAACAUACCUCAAUUUUUGUAUCCCACUUUUAGUCUCUGUCAUGUGCAAUACUACAAAUACAAAACAACAACAACAACUUGGUUUUACAUGAAACAUGGACUUCAAAAAUAUGAUAAUGUUUCUCACCUCUUUCUGUCCUCUCUUCUUUACUUCUUGUUUCAAUUCAAAAUUGGUAUCAGAACCAUGCAUGUUUGAUAAAACUAUUCUGUGUUUUUACAUUCUUCAACCACCCAACUUUCAUCACACUUCACCUCUCCAAAGUUAAAUAUCUGCUAACAAAGUGUAACCAUUGAAGUGCAAGAUUAGAUUUCUCACCUCACGUUACAAACAAGGAAGAAACUAACACUAACCUUCUUCCAAAUAACAAUGUCUUCACUCCUUUGGAACCUACACCAUCCUCCACCCUUUUUGUCAAUCAUAAACUUGGACUCACCCACAACCAAAUGCAAAUCCACUAGCUCAAACCAAACUCACAUCAAAUGAUACACCCAAUCACCCCAUAAUAAUUCACCCAAUCUUAAGAAAAACAUCAACAAAGUCACAAAUCAGUAGGACCCAACCCCUCCUAUAAUUAUCAAACCCCAGAUACCAUUUCUCAGUGUCACUCACAAAACCAUAUUACCCUUUUCUUCUCAAAGGUUAUAAAUGGUGGAAAACCCUAAGAGCUAAGAAAAGGAACAACCUUGA